rnacentral:rRNA from 1 species
UUGCCUAGAAUUGUGGUCGAUCCCGCCACCCCUCUGAACUAGCGUUCGAGACUAAGCCAUGCAAGUGUAAGCUCAAGACCUCUCGUAGGUCGAAGCCGCAGACGGCUCCGUACAAGGCAGUUAAUCUACGGUCCAGCGAAUAAUCUACGGACAUCUCUGGUAAGCUAGAGCCAAUACGUGUUACCAAUUCUCCGUUAGUCCUUCGGGGCGAGCGGGGUGCAGUUAUCGGAACG